GUCAUAAAAAUUUAAUUUCAAUCAACAAAUUACGAUUGAGAAUACGACAAGAACAUUACUGGGUCUUGAAGAAGUGGCUUUGUAUCAUCUUUCGCAACAACAUAAGUGGACACACAAAACCUUGCUAGAUUGUGUCUUACUGUGAAAGAUUAUUAAGGGAGAAAAACCGCGAAGAAGCUUAAAACAACAAAAGUGGAAGCGGCAAACUCAAAGGGAUGAAGGGGUACUUUCCAUGGUCAGAAGUGAUUACCUAUUGGAUGCUAAGAUGAUGUCCUGUGACACGAUGGAGAUGAAUGAGUUGCCAAAGCCUGUCCUUUGGUCAUUUUGCUUUCCAACAGUGGUCAUCUUCCAGUGUUUAACAUAUGGUGGUUCAUCGAUUCAUGUUCAUUAAUGAUGAAAUUUCACUUGGGAUAUCGUGAUUUAAAAGUUUUUAAAGGGUUAUGGAAUUAGUAUGAAUUUGUUCACUAGACUAGAAUGAUACGAAUUUGAUUCAAAGUUCAAACGUUCAAUCCCGACAACAAUGUCGGAAGUUAAGAAGUGUUUAGAUCUGAAAUUUGAAAUAUAACCGUAAUGGAAUGGAUUUGAAGCCAUUACAAGGUUAUGGGAUUUUAUCAUGAGCUCUCUCACCUACUAGGGUAGUCUUCUGGGUUCCCUCGUUUGUUAUAGACUGAAGGCUUGUCAAGGUAAAAUCAUUGCAAUAGAGCAAAAUUUGCUUGGAUCAUGUCUAAAGUUUAUGAUAUCAUAAAUCACAUGCCAAAUUGCAAAUUGAUUGUAACAUUAAUAAGCCUCUUUAUUGUCUAUUGGAACUUGACACAAUUCUAAACCGAGAUGAAAGUACUCGAGAAUCAUUGCUUGAAUUAGAGCCUGAGCUUGGAGCUAGCUUUGUUCUUGUUGAUAAGGUAUCUCCAGUAUCUGACUCAGACAGCCAUUGCUGCUGAUAAGGAAUCAGUCCACUUGAUUUAUGUUUAUUAAGGAUAAUCCAGGUGAUGAAGAAUUAUGGUAGUAGGGAAAGUAUAGAAGGUAAUGUAGAAAGUUGGAAGGUAGCUAUUCAGUAUUUUAGCUGUUUUUGUUGCUUUUGCAUUGAAUCCAAAGUCAAAAGGUAUCUAUCAUGCUCUUGCUAGGCCAUCAUAUUCAGGAGCUGAAAUAGAAUCAAAAUCAUAUUGAUAGAGGAUUGAAGAUUUUAUUCCUCAAGAAGCUGAUUUGCAUACGGAUCCGGCAACUGAACUUGCAUUUAAUCAGGAGCCUGACUUGCAUGGUCAAGGUUGGAAAUUCUCGAGGUUCAUUAAAUUUGUGGGUCAGCAUUCCUUGUGUUACUAAGACGGGAUUAUUAGGUUAGUGUAGCCCAGAAAACUGCUCUGUGCAGUGUACACCCUUUAUGAGAGUGCAUCCUUUCUUCACUUCCUGUGAAGUUCUUGAUUUCUAAGCCAUUUUUACCUGGAAUGCUAUUCGUUUCGUUAUGUGGGACCAAACGAGAACAUGGAACACUACCCAGUGUGACCCGGGAAUGACUAGGCACGGAAAACAUUAUGUAUAAAAUGUAUAGUUAAUUUCAAAAGGAAAUGAAAUUGAAUUGGAGACCAAAAAACCUUUUUCACAGACGUGUUGAGCGAUUGUGGAUGUGAUUUUUUGGUGUCUGGAAUGGGCGCCUCGGGGUCGCAAAAUGGAGUUACGUUCCAUGCUACAGCUUCCUAUACUCUAAGCUACCGAUCAUUGGACUGCAUGCAACUAGAAUUCUACCAUACUGAUAUUCUGCCCAGUUGGCUACAUAUCGUGGUUUCUUCCCAGUUGGGUGGUGAUCGGUGCGAUAUCUUAUCCGUAAUGCUAAGUAAUUUAAAUACAGGGUCACUGUUAUAUAUGCCUGGGAAAAUUGUGACUAAAUAUUGUCUGUAUUUUGUCAUUAGUCAAUAAAUCAUUUAAAGGACUCUACUGUUGACCCAUAUCUAGGUACUAGGACUAAAACUCCCAUUCUGAAGUCAAACUAUCUGAAAUCAAAUGCCUUGAAUUCUACCCGAAUGAUAUGACCAAAUGACCAAUAUGGCAAUAUGGCUCUAUCCAACUUUAAUUGAAAGACUCGAAGUUAUUGUGUCAAUAUCUUGAAACAUUGAGCUAAUAAUUAAUAAAAGCUUUUAAGGAGGAUAUGAAUUAUGUUAUUCAUAUUGAGUUAACGACCGAUAUUUUACAUGUUAAAUGGGUGAAACAUUUUAAAGCUGUAGUUCCAAUGUUCCACACUUCCAUGCUUGGAUGAGCUGGGAGCCUGGGAUUACUACCAAACAUUUAGAUGAUAAUUUAUAUGCUGAAUUAGGAAUAAUGUUAAUAUUGAGGAGCUAUACAUGCGCAUCUACAAAGAACGUAAAUUUUUUAGUGUGGAUUGCUGCUCAAAAGGGAGUACGAGCUCAUAGUUAACUCUGGUCUUAAUGCUGAGCUAUCUCUUAUGUUUAGUUAGCUCAUUGUGACUGUGGACCGGUGGUUAUGAAAAUAGUUUCCAUGGGUGGUUCUUAGUUGGGUGCAUACCAUACAUUCUUCUUGUUGGAGGCGCCUUUCGCGUAAGUUUAAAUACUUUACAUGAUAUUUUUAAUGCACUUGAUGGGUCAUCAUGUACAAUUAGGAGCUGAAAAAGAAACAAUUCCAUACUGUUAUUACGGAGAGAUGCUUAUUCCUUCAUUUGGAAGCUGAUUGCAUACUAUUUUGCUUAAUUGUAUUUGCCAUUGGAAUUGGGUAUAUAACUUGGGUUUUAUAUAAAGCUUAUGAGAUCUUUGUCAACGUACCUAAUUGCUGAUGACUUUUGAUAUUGAGUAUCCCUUUAGUGCCCAGAAACUUGGCAAAAUCUUGAUGAAGGUACAAGCUACUUGAUCUGGAGUCUGAGCUUGGAGUUAGUUUUUUUUAUUACCGACUUUACGCUUAUCAGAAUUAGUUUACCUAUCAAGGAGUAGUAUAACACCUUACAUGUCAAGCUUGAGAUAUCUCAUGGCUCAUAAAUUUUGUUGGUUAGCAUGUCUUCUGCUUUGUUAUAUUAGGAACAUGUUCUAAGAUUGGGUUAACCCUGAAGACUGCUUUCCUCUUAUCAGUAGUUUGUAAAUACCAUUACUCACCAAGUGGCAUAUCAUUCAAAGGACUCUAGUGGACUAUGCAAAAUUGACCCAUAUCCGACUACCUAGACUAAACUCCGGUCUUAAAGUUAUCUUAUACCUAACAUCAAAUGCGUCGAAUAUCGACAUUGACCUGAAUAGUACGACUAAUAUGACCCGAUUCAACCUGACCCAAAUAACAUGUCAUCAACACUAAUCAAACUUGUUCUUAAAAAACCUGUUUUGAGUUGUUACUUCUACUUCCUCCGUCUUUUUUAAUAUGUUGCACAACAUUCAUAAAGCUCUGACUUCGAUUUGCAUACUGUAGACCAUUGGUGUAAAACUUAUCUACAUAUUGUGAUCAAUAUGAUUUGAGACUUCCAUUUAGGUGAUGAUUAGUCCUAUCUUGUUGGCGUGAACUUGAGCCUUCCAUUGAGGUGAUGUUUAGUCCUAUUCAAUCUUUCACGGAAUAUUUGGUGCUCUUUUGGUUUUGCUUGCUGCAUGUCACAUGGUGUUUUUGUCCUUUUUUCUAUAAAAGACAUGCAUAAAUUUCUGCUACUGCUAGUGGGAUAUUUUAUCUAUACAACCCUUCACUGUAUCUUUGUUUUUGUGCAGUCACUAGUCAUAGAAAAUAUCCAGAAAAUGGAAUCAUUUAUACGAAGAACAUACAAAAGUGUCACUAUUUUGCCUAAUGAAACCCACUUUUGACUUAUCAUAUUCCCUUUAAUUGCUACUCCCUCUGUCCCCAUGAAUUUGACACUUGGAUUAGUUAAUGAUUUGGAGUCGGAGAAUAAGAUUAAAAACAAGUGGAUGAGAAAAUAUGUAAAUGAAAUGGAAAGAAAGAAUGCGUUUGUGGAUAAAAUUAAAGAGAGAAUAUGCCUGUGAAUGAGAUCGGAUGGAAUGUGAGACCAUAGCCUAAAAUAGAAAUGGUUUAACAUUAAUGUCAUCAUCAUCAACCCAAUGUCCCGCCCAAGGCGGGGUUUGGGGAGGAUUGAAAAGAAGACAGACAAAUAUCCUCAUCACGAGGAGGUCGCAAUCGAAAAGAGCCCCUCAACUUGGGUAUUGCCUUGCAUAUGUAAAAACCAAAAUGAAAAGUAUGUCGCUUAUGGGAACGGAGGGACUAAUAAAUAAAAUCUACCCUUUUCAGUGCUAAUGGAGUAUGUGUUGGUUAGUCAUUUCCAUCAUGCAUAUCAGGAAAUUCUGAGCUGAUUCCAGCGCCAAGCAUUCAUCCUGAUCAGCUUAGUGGGGGAUACUCCUACACAUAAAAGGACAUAAAUCCAGGUACACUGAGCUUUUCUAGUGAGCUUCAUUUCUUCUUCCAUCCAAACACCCGAGAAAAAACCGAUCAAAAAACGGAGUUGGAAGAAAUAUGGCUUUCUCCCCGAAAUUACGCACAGGAACAGCAGAAAGCUGGGGAAUUAUGAUUCUUAUAUUGGUAUUAUGUGGGAUUUUAGGUUACAUAAUCUAUGAUGCAGUAAUGGUAACUGCAUCAGAAUUGUUGCAGCGUUUACUGAUGAUUUCUCCUCUUCUUAUAGUCAUUACAAUUCACUGGAUUUCCACAAAGCCUUCGUCGAGCUGCCUUAGCUUUCUCCUACCUGGAUCAAACCCGGGUGACAUUCAUCGCGCAGGCGGUUCACCUUGGGGUGUUGCAGUUGUGCUCAUCAUUCUUUGUGUUUUGAUCUCAUACCAGCCUUCCUUACAAAGCAUUGUAUCUUAAAACGGUUCACUAGGUACUAGUAGUUCAUUUACUAUUUGCUUAUUUAUUUAUUAGUCAUUUCUACAGGUGGUGAAAAUCAAACAUUUGUCACGAGGGUAAAAGAAAGUUUUCCAUCUCUAGGCUAAUUCAUGAUUCUUACUGAUCGCUUACAUUUAAGAAUGAAAAUAUAUAUUAGAUGUCAUUUAAAUUCCUAAAUAUAGAGAAUCUGGUUUUGUCUCAGUUGGAACAUGUACAACUUUCUUCAGUUGGAACAUGCACAACUUUCUUCAGGUUAGUCUUGAGUUCGAUGUUCAUCUAAUUUUUCUUUCCUCAGCUUACCCUGUAAUGUUGGUGGAAGAUAAUUAAUGGUAUUCGGAUAAAAUGAUAAUGUUGUCCUGGGUAAAUGGACGAAGAGAUUUUUGAUUUCUAUUCAUAUUUUUCUGAUAGGUUUGUAUUAGCACUUAGCAGGGUAUCUAUUUAUGUCAUUGUUCAUAAUAAAUUGUAAAAUGCCGAGUAAUGUAGUGUUGGUUUAUUGCUCCUACUCCUAGUAAUGCAUAUUUCUUCCGUAUCUCAUCAUUGUAUUUGAUACUUUCUCCUA